rnacentral:lncRNA from 1 species
AAAGGCUUCUUCAUUUUUAACUCCAGAAGCAUAACACAAAUGUUUUCCAGCCUUUCUUUGUGUGGAGAGCAGACCUAGUGACUGCAGUAAGAUCCUGUUACACAUUUGAAAAAAAAAAAAAAAAAACAACUUUUGCAGAGUGGAGGUAACUCCAUUUGAAUCCUUCUUUUGUUAAACUUUAAAGGGACACCAUAACUAUAUGCUCCCCCUUUUGUGGGGAAGGUAUUUUGAAGGAAGCUCCAGGAUUAUAUUUGAAAGUAAAUUAAUAUUUUAAUAACAUCAAGAAAACAGUAGAAAACAUCCACCUCAUUUCAGAUAGAAGAGGUCUGUGGUACUUUCUAAAAUUAUUCUCUUUGCUUACACUGUUUUAAACUGGUUUUUGGAUUUAAUUACUAGGAUUGGGUGGAUGUAUCAUGUGUCUUAUUUUGGUUCUUUUUAAAUUCACUUGGAGUUUUGUGGAAAAAAAAAUGGCAAAAAUGUAGAGUAGCAGAUUUCUGCUUGAUUUCAUAGAUGAUACUCCCCUAUAGUGAGUGGGAAAGAAUUUGAAAUCAUGGCCACAUUGGCAAUUUUUUGUUACAUUCUAGCAUUUUGAGGCAAGUUUAGGGACAACUUACAUUCAUGAAGACAGAAUGAUUUAGAAUCCUAGUGCACCUGGUAAACAAGGCCCAGAAAUCAUGGGAAUUCUUCACCUAAGGAUCAGAAGAGCACUUUAAUUGACUGACUUACGAUUAACAAGGAUGAAAUUGCUGAAUGGAACGAAUGAUGGCUCUACCUUCAAGUCAACAAACUUCGUAGCAAGGUUGUACGGCCCGUUGCGCAUUUGAACGAUACGAUGCUUGCUAUAGCUGGCAUGCUGCUCUGCUCCUGCUCUUCUACUGUAUGGGAACUCUGAGACAGCCUCUCUCCUCCUAGACUGCAAACUUACAGAGGACAGAGACAAAGCUUUAUUCAUUAGAGCAUAUUCCUAGUUCAUGGCACCACAGUAGGCACACAAUUAAUGCUUUUUUUAAAAAAAUGAUGGGAC